rnacentral:rRNA from 1 species
GAUGAACGCUGGCGGCGUGCCUAAUACAUGCAAGUCGAGCGAACAGACGAGGAUCUUGCUCCUCUGACGUUAGCGGCGGACGGGUGAGUAACACGUGGAUAACCUACCUAUAAGACUGGGAUAACUUCGGGAAACCGGAUCUAAUACCGGAUAAUAUAUUGAACCGCAUGGUUCAAUAGUGAAAGACGGUUUUGCUGUCACUUAUAGAUGGAUCCGCGCCGCAUUAGCUAGUUGGUAAGGUAACGGCAUACCAAGGCAACGAUGCGUAGCCGACCUGAGAGGGUGAUCGGCCACACUGGAACUGAGACACGGUCCAGACUCCUACGGGAGGCAGCAGUAGGGAAUAUUCCGCAAUGGGCGAAAGCCUGACGGAGCAACGCCGCGUGAGUGAUGAAGGUCUUCGGAUCGUAAAACUCUGUUAUUAGGGAAGAACAAAUGUGUAAGUAACUAUGCCCGUCUUGACGGUACCUACUCAGAAAGCCACGGCUAACUACGUG